rnacentral:rRNA from 1 species
UACGUCCACACCUUUUAGGUGUGGAUCAGUUGACUGUCAUACUUCCAAGAAAAGCUCGAACUACUGUAAAGCAUCACGUACCUAUACCGUAAACCGACACAGGUGGGUUGGUAGAGUAUACCAAGGGGCGCGAGAUAACUCUCUCUAAGGAACUCGGCAAAAUGACCCCGUAACUUCGGGAGAAGGGGUGCCAAGUAACUCAAAUUGCUUGGUCGCAGUGACCAGGCCCUGGCGACUGUUUAUCAAAAACACAGGUCUCCGCAAAGUCGUAAGACAACAUAUGGGGGCUGACGCCUGCCCAGUGCCGGAAGGUUAAAGAAGUUGGUUAUUCACUCGUGGAGAAGCUGACGACUGAAGCCCCGGUGAACGGCGGCCGUAACAAUAACGGUCCUAAGGUAGCGAAAUUCCUUGUCGGGUAAGUUCCGACCCGCACGAAAGGCGUAACGAUCAGGGCACUGUCUCGGAGAGAGACUCGGUGAAAUAGACAUGUCUGUGAAGAUGCGGACUACCUGCACCUGGACAGAAAGACCCUAUGAAGCUUGACUGUAGCCUGGAAUUGGGUUCGGGCUCUUCUUGCGCAGCCUAGGUGGGAGGCGUUGAAGGCUUUCUUUUGGGGAAGCUGGAGCCAUCAGUGAGAGACCACUCUGGAGGAGCUAGAAUUCUAAUGGCGUUCCUUGAAGCAGGACGCUUGACAGUUUCAGGUGGGCAGUUUGACUGGGGCGGUCACCUCCUAAAAGGUAACGGAGGUGUGCAAAGGUUCCCUCAGGCUGGACGGAAAUCAGCCGUAGAGUGUAAAGGCAGAAGGGAGCUUGACUGCAAGACCUACAAGUCGAGCAGGGGCGAAAGCCGGCCUUAGUGAUCCGACGGUUCCAUGUGGAAGGGCCGUCGCUCAACGGAUAAAAGUUACUCUAAGGAUAACAGGCUGAUCUUCCCCAAGAGUUCACAUCGACGGGAAGGUUUGGCACCUCGAUGUCGGCUCAUCGCAACCUGGGGCGGUAGUACGUCCCAAGGGUUGGGCUGUUCGCCCAUGAAAGCGGUACGUGAGCUGGGUUCAGAACGUCGUGAGACAGUUCGGUCCAUAUCCGGUGUAGGCGUUAGAGCAUUGAGAGGAGUCUUCCAUAGUACGAGAGGACCUGGAAGGACACACCUCUGGUAUACCAGUUAUCAUGCCAAUGGUAGACGCUGGGUAGCCAUGUGUGGAGUGGAUAACCGCUGAAAGCAUCUAAGUGGGAAGCCCACCUCAAGAUGAGUGCUCUCCAUUAGGUCACAGGAAGACAACCUGUUUGAUAGGCAGAAGGUGUAAGGCUAGUAAUAGUUUCAGCUGAUCUGUACUAAUAGACCGAUUGAUCUU